rnacentral:tRNA from 1 species
GCCAAGGUUGUGUAAGGGUUAGCACAAAGGCCUGUGGAGCCUUUAGUCCGGGUUCGAAUCCCGGCCUUGGCC